GGGUGGAUGCUCAAAGCAGACUGUGAUCUCAUGGAAAGCCUGCACUAGAGCAGAGUCCUGGCAGGAGCUGUGGAGAGCGGUGCUGACACAGGAGCAGGUUUGCUGAUGGGACUUGUGACCUCACAAGUUCCUCACACUGUUCCUGAAGGACUGACCCCAUGGGAGGGACCCACAAUGGGAUACCUUGUGAAGAACUGCAGCCAGUGGGAAGGACCCAUGUUGGUGAUAUUUGUGGAGGACUGUUUCCCAUGGGAAGGACCCCUGUGGCCUGGGAACAGGGACCAUCCCCAAGAGUCACACCAAAUGAAAGAUGGUUCAUUAAAAGAGUAACUAAAGCAGUUGCUCCUUUGCACACUCCAUGUUACUGCUCCCACUGAACACAGCACAGAGCUACACGGCAAAAAACCAAAUGCAUAUGAAAUUUCUCAGUGAGAAAUAAACAUGUGUGUAAAAGCUGUA